rnacentral:piRNA from 1 species
AAGGAGAGAGGAAACUGUAGGGG